rnacentral:SRP_RNA from 1 species
GCCGGGCGCGGUGGCACGUGUCUGAAGUCCCAGCUACUCGGGAGGCUGAGGUGGGAGGAUCGCUUGAGCCCAGGAGCUCUGGACUGUAGUGCGCUAUGCCGACUGGGUGUCCACACUAAGUUCGGCAUCAAAAUGGUGACUUCCUGGGAGCGGGGGACCACCAGGUUGCCUAAGGAGGGGUGAACUGGCCCAGGUUGGAAACAGAGCAGGUCAAAACUCCCGUGCUGAUCAGUAGUGGGAUCGCACCUGUGAAUAUCCACUGCAUUGCAGCCUGGGCAACAUAGCGAGACCCCGUCUCU